rnacentral:sRNA from 1 species
GGUUCCAUGCAGGUGAUGAACAAGACCCGGCGCAUCAUGGAGCAGGGCGGGGCACACUUCAUCAACGCCUUCGUGACCACGCCCAUGUGCUGCCCCUCGCGCUCCUCCAUCCUCACCGGCAAGUACGUCCACAACCACAACACCUACACCAACAACGAGAACUGCUCCUCGCCCUCCUGGCAGGCACAGCACGAGAGCCGCACCUUCGCCGUGUACCUCAAUAGCACCGGCUACCGGACAGGUCCUGAGCCGAUUAAGAAAUCAGACCUAGGAGUCAGCAGAUGAAAGUCAACACUGCACUCUGAUGAAUCUGGUGAAGGCUGGGUUUGAGGGCAUGGCUUCCUUCUGACAGCAUUUGGGCUUCCUGACUAAACUCCGGAGUAUGACAGACUUCCCACAGAUGCAGGUCCACACCACUCCUCCCCACGCAGACAAGACAAGCCUCCUGAAAACUAGCACUCCCUGGGGGCAGCUCAGUCCCCAGAGGAAAAGCAAGGGAAGGAUUGGGCUAUGCACGCCCACUUUGGCCCUUCAAACCCACUAGGCACAUGCUAGGGGUCAGCAAACCACAGCCAAUGGACCUAACCAGGCCCUCCAUUUGUUUUAGUAAAUAAAGUUUUAUUGGAACAUA